ACCACAGACUAGAGCUUCAGCAUCCUGAAGACAGGCACACGGCACUCCAGAGGACUGAGACAGCUGGAGGAUCUUCCUAGAGGGUGAGAGACUAAGGCCAUGCCCUGACAGAUGUAAUAGGACUUCCACAGGCGAAGAGAUUGAGAAAGAAGGCCUUCCACGUGGGAGAAGUCCUGGGAGGAAACACAGACGCAGAAUAUGUCCAGCAGGCUCUGAAACCUGUGUGGUUAGAACAGAAGGUUCCUGGAAAAUAGGAGUGGGUGAGGAGAUCGACUGGGGAGCCUGGCUCACUCUAUAGAAUUUUGCAAACUGAAGAGGGAUCCAAGAAGCAUUUCAGAAAGCCAGAUCUAGCAGGUUUGUGUACAAGG
rnacentral:lncRNA from 1 species